rnacentral:rRNA from 1 species
UACGUAGGGUGCAAGCGUUAAUCGGAAUUACUGGGCGUAAAGCGUGCGCAGGCGGUUUUGUAAGUUUGUCGUGAAAUCCCCGGGCUCAACCUGGGCACUGCAUCCGAUACUGGCUGACUAGAGUGUGGGAGAGGAAGGUAGAAUUCCAGGUGUAGCGGUGAAAUGCGUAGAGAUCUGGAGGAAUACCGAUGGCGAAGGCAGCCUUCUGGCCUAA